rnacentral:rRNA from 1 species
UACGAAGGGGGCUAGCGUUGUUCGGAAUCACUGGGCGUAAAGGGCGCGUAGGCGGUUCGAUAAGUCAGCUGUGAAAACCAUGGGCUUAACUCAUGGCCUGCAGUUGAGACUGUCGGGCUGGAGUGUGGGAGAGGAGAGUGGAAUUCCUGGUGUAGCGGUGAAAUGCGUAGAUAUCAGGAGGAACACCGGUGGCGAAGGCGGCUCUCUGGACCACAACUGACGCUGAGGCGCGAAAGCUAGGGGAGCAAACAGG